rnacentral:lncRNA from 1 species
AGUCAUUCUCCUAUACCCCUUUCCCUUCCUGUUUCAUGGACUAACAAGAGGCUGGUGCGGACAUCUACUUUCUGUUUUUCCUUUUUGUGGCGAAAGCAUGGUGUGGGCUUCUGUUCUGUCCCAGAAAAAGAAGAGAAUUUGAGAAGAAUGAGCCUCUCGGGAUGGGAGGAAGUUUUGGCUUGCUUAGCAACAACAUGACUCAGCAGUGAAGUUAAGCUUUCCAAAGGGCACCUGUGACUUGACUGAAGGCAUCAUACAGGGACUCAGAAGAGAAAAUGAAGCAGACAAUUCAACCUCUCGUCAAGUAUUAAAUAAAACAUAAUUUUCAACAGAAAACAUAAAGUGCAACCAAGAUUUCAAAACAAACCAGAAGAGUCAAAAUUGCCCAAAUCACAUAGUUUGGGUAUAAAUGAAAGUGUAAGAGUUAUAGUCUCCCUAUGUAGUGAGUAGAGUGUGUACGGAGUGCAUAAUGUGUGCCUACGCCUGUGUGAGGGGCAUUCCAUUAAGAUUUCAGAGAAACCACCAUGCAGUGAAUUACUGGACAUAUACUGGCACUGUGUUCUCUCAGCUGCUUAUAUUGAGUUGGUAAGAUGUGAGUCACCCUACUAUACAGUUGAUCAUCGGAAGACCUCGUGCCACAAAAGCAAUGAGACUGGGAUUGUUUCUAAGUGAGUAUAUGGUCCAAAAAGGGAUGAGAUGCGCAAACUACAAUAUGGCAAAAUGCUCCACCAGCUGCAAACAUUAAGCCUCAACCAAGAUACUUAGGAAGUGGGGCAAGUCAUUAAAUUGUAUUUUGUGGUCAGCUGUGGCUAAUGUGGAAAAUCCCUUUUUGUUUCAAAAAUGUUAUUCAAAGUUCUUCUGAAAUGCAUUAAAUCACUCUCCUGCCUUUGAAGCUUAUGUCUUUAACACAGAGCAGAAUCAAUGCAGAAGCUUGGGAGACUACUCUGAAUGUAUUCUCAUCUCUAGAUUUAUGCUGGAAUACGCUUUUUUGAGUCUUCUAACAUGGUCUGAUUUUUUUGCUUUCUUAUGCCCCCU